GGAUGAUUAGCUCAGCUGGUUAGAGCGCGUCGUUCACAUCGACGAGGUCAGUGGUUCGAGUCCACUAUCAUCCACCA
rnacentral:tRNA from 6 species